UACGUAGGGUCCGAGCGUUGUCCGGAUUUAUUGGGCGUAAAGCGCUCGUAGGCGGUUCCGUAAGUCAGAUGUGAAAACUCAGGGCUCAACCCGGAGACGCCAUCUGAUACUGCGGUGACUGGAGUCUGGUAGGGGAACACGGAAUUCCUGGUGUAGCGGUGAAAUGCGCAGAUAUCAGGAGGAACACCGAUGGCGAAGGCAGUGUUCUGGGCCAGUACUGACGCUGAGGAGCGAAAGCGUGGGGAGCAAACAGG
rnacentral:rRNA from 1 species